ensembl:lncRNA LINC02325 long intergenic non-protein coding RNA 2325
AGCCAUGGGAGACUUGCCGAGGACUUUGUCCACCAAGUGAUGAAAGCAUGCAAAUGCCUCCGAAUCAAAGAUGAGGAAAACAAAAGCUCAGAAACUAUCUUGGAGUCAGCAAGUAAGAAGGAGCUUAGAAAGGCUUAACAUUUUCCAUGCUUCUGCCUGGCUUCAGAGCCCAUGCACUCUGCCUUACCACGGCAGGUGAAAGAUGGCCCCAAAUUCUUAGGUACAUCUCCUGCCAAAAGACCCCUCCUAUGGGUUCUGUGACUACUUCAAUGAAAAGAAUAGGGCAGAAGAGAUGAUGAGAACUUAACAUCUGGCAGUGUCCAUUUCCUGUCUUUUGAAACUUUCUGUUAAAGGCCUGAGCCACGUAUGAAGUGUGAAUCUUCACACCAUGCAAGAGAAGCCACAUGUUAUUGCUCUGGUCAACAAUCCCAGCUGACCCAACCAGAUAGUGUAUCAGGCAUAUGAGUAAAGCAUUCUUAGAUUCUUCAGUCCAGCCCUUCACCAGCAGAACACCAUUCAGCAACCCUUGUCGGCAUCAUGUGGGACAGAAGAACCACCCAGCUGAGCCUUAUCCAAAUUCCUGACCACAAAAUCAUAAGGCUGGAAUUUUAUUCUACAGUCCUGUAAGGUACAGAUCAUUGGGUAAAUGGAGAAAAUUUUCUCCCCAAAGAGAGAAUGACUUCUUUCAUAUCGCUGAAUGGAGCAACAUGUUUGGCCAAGUUCCUGUCCCAGGGAGGAGAACCUUCAGCUUGCAACAAGUCCUGGCCGUUGGAGAAACCAUGAGACUAGACCUUGUGUAAAGCAGCUGAUUCUGCCAUGGGGGAAAUGCCCUUUUGUUUACUGAGCUUCUCCCACCCAUGCCUUGCUCCACUUUCCUCUAGAAGCCUGAGAUAUUGGGAAUAAGAGUCUCAGCCUCCAAGAGAUGGAGAACAUAUCAAGAGAGUCUGGAUUUCUGGGGUGAUUAAGUUCACUUGAUUCAUUAGCCUAAGUGCUCAAGUAAAUUUCAAAUCACAGUGUUAUGUGUGAUUGUCCACGUCCUUCCUCCAAACACUCCCCACCUCCCACCCAAGGGCCCAUGUAACUUGCUAUUGAGAACCUUUGAUUUCUUAGGUAUUUGGGUGAUAGGGUUUUGUUGCCUCUCCUGAAGAAAAUAGUGGCAAUUUGUACUCAGCUGUGGAAUAAAGGAAAUCAUGACAUA